rnacentral:rRNA from 1 species
ACACUCCUGCGGGAGGCAGCAGUGGGGAAUUUUGGACAAUGGGCGAAAGCCUGAUCCAGCAAUGCCGCGUGUGUGAAGAAGGCCUUCGGGUUGUAAAGCACUUUUGUCCGGAAAGAAAUCCUUGGCUCUAAUACAGUCGGGGGAUGACGGUACCGGAAGAAUAAGCACCGGCUAACUACGUGCCAGCAGCCGCGGUAAUACGUAGGGUGCGAGCGUUAAUCGGAAUUACUGGGCGUAAAGCGUGCGCAGGCGGUUUGCUAAGACCGAUGUGAAAUCCCCGGGCUCAACCUGGGAACUGCAUUGGUGACUGGCAGGCUAGAGUAUGGCAGAGGGGGGUAGAAUUCCACGUGUAGCAGUGAAAUGCGUAGAGAUGUGGAGGAAUACCGAUGGCGAAGGCAGCCCCCUGGGCCAAUACUGACGCUCAUGCACGAAAGCGUGGGGAGCAAACAGGAUUAGAAACCCCGGUAGUCCCAUGAU